rnacentral:rRNA from 1 species
UACGGAGGGAGCUAGCGUUGUUCGGAAUUACUGGGCGUAAAGCGCACGUAGGCGGCUUUUCAAGUCAGGGGUGAAAGCCCGGGGCUCAACCUGGGAACUGCAUCCGAAACUACUAAGCUUGAAUACUUGAGAGGUUGGCGGAAUUCCAGGUGUAGGAGUGAAAUCCGUAGAUAUCUGGAGGAACAUCGGAGGCGAAGGCGGCCAACUGGCGAUGUAUUGACGCUAAGGUGCGAAAGCGUGGGGAGCAAACAGG